UACGAAGGGGGCGAGCGUUGUUCGGAUUUACUGGGCGUAAAGGGCGCGCAGGCGGCUUUGUUUGUCAGGCGUGAAAGCCCCGGGCUUAACCUGGGAACUGCGUUUGAUACGGCAGGGCUAGAGUUCGGGAGAGGAGAGUGGAAUUCCCAGUGUAGAGGUGAAAUUCGUAGAUAUUGGGAAGAACACCGGUGGCGAAGGCGGCUCUCUGGACCGAGUACUGACGCUGAGGCGCGAAAGCGUGGGGAG
rnacentral:rRNA from 1 species